rnacentral:rRNA from 1 species
ACUCCUACGGGAGGCAGCAGUGGGGAAUAUUGGACAAUGGGCGAAAGCCUGAUGCAGCGAUGCCGCGUGAGUGAAGAAGGUCUUCGGAUCGUAAAACUCUGUCCUUGGGGAAGAUAAUGACGGUGCCCAAGGAGGAAGCCCCGGCUAACUACGUGCCAGCAGCCGCGGUAAU